rnacentral:rRNA from 1 species
CGGGACGGGUGAGUAAUGUCUGGGAAACUGCCUGAUGGAGGGGGGUAACUACUGGAAACGGUAGCUAAUACCGCAUAACGUCGCAAGACCAAAGAGGGGGACCUUCGGGCCUCUUGCCAUCGGAUGUGCCCAGAUGGGAUUAGCUAGUAGGUGGGGUAACGGCUCACCUUGGCGACGAUCCCUAGCUGGUCUGAGAGGAUGACCAGCCACACUGGAACUGAGACACGGUCCAG